GCAGCAAUAUUGUAAUUGUCUAAGCCAUUAGAUGCUAGAUGCGGAAGGACCUCAUGGUUUCCAUAUAGUCAUCAUUAUGUAAACAUGAGAUUAAUUUCAUCAAGAUUUUUGGUCUCUUCCUUGGCUUAAAACUCUUUUGAAAUUUGUUUUGACUUGUAAUAUAUUACAUUCUACCCUUCAAAUCAAAGGAUUCAUUGGAAGAUCAAGACCAACUAAUUUCAUUAGAAGGGUGAGGAUUGAAUCAGAAACUCGAUCACCACGAGCAAAGAUAAUAAUCAGAAAAGGGGCAGUUUAAUUCAAGCAGAAACAUGUCGGAGGCCCUCCUCUUAUCGGUGAUACACAAGCUGGACAUUAAGUAUGGAGAGGACACGAAAACAAAGGAGAUUAUAAAAGAGCAAAUGGAAAGGGUUAUUAAAGAGAUGAGAGAGAUUGUGGAUAUUGUGAGGGAUAAGAAAUUGGAAGAUGGGAGAAGCCUCAAUUUUUUGGUAUCUGACCUUGUCGACGUGGCUGACGAUGUCCUCCGCCUUUUCACAAAAAGGGAAACCUUACCUUUGUACUAUGUUUCCAUCCAUACUUGGAUUGGAGAGAUCAAAAAGCGCAUGCUUAGAUUGGGAGAUGAUGGGGUGGAGAUGGAGUCCAACAUGAGAUCAUCAGAAAAUGUUGAAGAUGAUGAUGUAGAUGUGGUGGGCUUGGAGCAAGAUGUGAAAAUUCUGAUUCGCGAAAGGAUUAUUGGUGGUAUUGAUUCGACUGUUCUUAUCAAAGGGAUGUCUGGUAUUGGAAAGACAACACUUGCGAGAGAGAUAUACAACCAUCCAACCGUCGUUGAGCACUUUCAGCACCGUGCUUGGGUAUCUAAUUCUGUUGACCUCACUAUCAAAGAGCUACUUAUCAAACUAAUACAACAGCUAGAAGAUCCUCAGAAUCCCCAUACAUCUUCCUUAUUGGAGAAUAUGGACAACCGAAGCCUCCGAGAUAUGCUUCGCCAACACCUGCAAGGAACGCGAUAUCUUAUAGUUCUCGACGACCUGCCCAAACAAAUGCGCUUUAUGUCUUUCUUGGGGGAUCUUCCACAAAAAUGGAAUGGAAAUAGAUUGCUGCUCACAAGUCACACGACGCAUAAAGACAUAUGGAAUCAAGAAGUUCAUCAGAUGAAACCUUUGGAUUCUAAGAAGAGCUGGCAAUUGUUUCUGAAAACAAUAAACCAUGGCAAUAAAUUGACGGGUGAGCAUAAAUUCCCAAUGAAGUUGGAGCAUAUGGGAAAACAAAUGUUGAGAAAAUGUGGCGGUCUAUCAUUAGCUAUAAAAGAGGUGGGAAAGCAGUUAGCCAAAAAGAAAGUCUCAGGGGAGAGCGAAUGGGAACAACUUCUUGAAUCAGUUGAUUUUGGUCCAAUAUUGAAGUUGUUGGAACCAUUUUAUCAUAAAUUGGAUCCCAAACUGGAGUCAUGUUUCUUGUGUAUGGCCUUCUUUAAGGAAAAUACAACUUUGAGGAAAAAAAAGUUGAUACAGAUUUGGGUUACAGGAGGAGCAGUACAAGAUUCAGAAUAUAAGUGUGGACAAAAUUUAAAGGAUUUAAUCAAUGAAUCUGUUAUUGAAGUCAAGGACAAGAACACUGAGUAUUGCAUGAAUGUUGUGCUACACAUGCUAUCCAUCCAAAAGGCAGAGGAGAAACUAGGUUUUGAGAUUCUAAGGAACAAUGGAAAUAAUCGGCCCUCUGAGAGUCCUUGUCGUCAUCGUGUUAUCAUUUGUAGCAGAGACAAGUUCGACUACUCCACAGAUCAAGAUAAACAUCUUGUUUCUCUCUCUUCUUCCAUGGAGGUGGCUACUUGGACACUAGUCCGUCUUAUUGGAAGAACUUUGAAAAACUUAAGAUACUUGACUUGGAUGAUUUUGGGUUGAAGUUUAUCCCGGAAACUAUCGGCACAUUGAUGGAAUUAAGAUACUUGGGGUUGAGAAAUAAUUACAUGAAAGAGCUUCCACAGUCGUUGGAGUGCUUGAAAAACCUCGAGGUUCUUGAUAUGGCUCAAAACUUUAUGGUGGAGGUGUCAGAUAUUAUAUGGGAAUUGCCCAGCCUUCACCACCUGUACAUGUCUGAUGUGAUUUGCCGGAAGCCUUUGAAGAUACACGUGCUACAGAAUCUAAAGACCUUAACCUACGUCUCGAUUGAUAAUUGGACAUAUGAGCGAUCGGUCUUGAAAAAGUUAAUUUUUCUUGAGAAAUUGGGCAUAGAAGACGUGGAUGGGAACUCAGAUGUAACCAUGCUCUUUGUGACAUUGACUGUGUUGGGGGAUCUUAAUCACCUAAUCUUGAGAGGGUAUCGUUUCAGAAGCAUGCCUUGUUUGGAUGAGCUUGCUAUUCUACAAUAUAUCCACAUACUCAAAUUGGAUGGACUCCUUGCUAGUCUUCCAACAAGUUUCCCUCGAUUUCUUAACUCAUUGACGUUGGUUAAUAGCUGUUUUGAUGAAGACCCGAUGGCUCUACUAGGAGAGUUACGGAAUCUAGAGUACCUGAAAUUGCGGAAUGCAUACACUGGUCAACAAAUGGUGAUCUUGCCCAAAGGCUUCCCUUGUCUCAAAGUCCUGUGCAUCGAAGAGCUAUGGAAUCUGAGAAAUGUACAAUGUGGAGAAGGUGCAAUGUAUUUGCUCAAGAAAUUAGAAAUCCAUGAUUGUCCAUAUCUGGAUAACCUCCCGCAAGUGAUUAAAACGAUGCGCGAUCUGGAGGAGUUAAAGAUGGUGACAACCAAAAGCAUUGCAGCAAAGAUGAAGAAUUCAGACCUAAUCUCCAAUAUAUCGAUGGUGAAUAUCAAUCGAUGAGCUAGCGCAGGAACUGACAGAUCAGCACCAUACGUGCACAAUGGCCUGCAUCGUUGGGACUUUAGGUUCUUGAUCUAGGGAUGAUAGAGUAAAGGUGAGGCGGAUCCGGGAUCGACAGUUUGGCCAAGAUGGCUUCCAACUUGGAGUUCAAUGAAAUCCGGUCCUCGGCCUGUGAUUUCUGCAGAUUUUCCACCGUGGCUUGCAACUCAAAAACCACCUUCUCUAACUGCUCAAACUGGGCUUUAGUGACCAUCGUGGGAGGGUGUGAUAGCCGAGUUCACUGCACCAAAUUGAUAGAGUAAAGGUUA